rnacentral:rRNA from 1 species
UACGUAGGGUGCAAGCGUUAAUCGGAAUUACUGGGCGUAAAGCGUGCGCAGGCGGUUCGUUGUGUCUGUGGUGAAAGCCCCGGGCUUAACCUGGGAAUGGCCAUGGAAACUGGCGAGCUGGAGUGUGGCAGAGGGGGGUGGAAUUCCGCGUGUAGCAGUGAAAUGCGUAGAGAUGCGGAGGAACACCGAUGGCGAAGGCAGCCCCCUGGGUUGACACUGACGCUCAGGCACGGAAGCGUGGGGAGCAAACAGG